CUUGGAACUACGGUGCAGACAUUUAUCCAGCAGGCUACAGUCUUUUGUUGGCAUCCCUGGAGUUUAAUGAGAUACGCAGGAGACUGAAUCCCCAGGAGGCCUUUCUAACUUGGAGAACAAAGACAAUUCUUUGGGAAUAUAAGGGACAGAGAGACUCCAUCUUGCACUUAAGAAUACUAGAGAAACCAGCACCUCCAUAGUUCUGUGGAAGGUCCUGACCGAGAGAAUGUCAGCCCUGCUGGACAAAGAAUAUUGAAAAGAAGUCAUGGAAGAGCAGAGAUGUGUAUAAUAGCGACUAGGUCACCCAACUUGCUUCCAUCAAAGAGAGAAUUCACAGCACUGCAGAGACAAGUACAUUGCCCUCCUGGCACUGAUACAGCAGCAGCCACCAGCAACUCCCACUAUGACCCAGAGGCAGCACAGUCCUGUCCCCUGACCUCCACCCCAGCUCAGCAGAGACCAGG